CCCGCUAGUAUAACUUUCCCAUUUGGCUAUUCCCCACUGAGUUCAACCUCUGUGUUAUGACAUGAAUAAGUUGGAUAAGGCUCCAUCGAGUUAUUACUUAUUUUAUUUAUUUAACUUUUUUGGUAGACUGGUUUUAUUUAGAGGCAUAUCAAGCAGAGAACCAGGUUCCUGAUCUCAAAAAAAUGAAAAACCUCAACGAAGCCGGAUUGACAUUACUUUUUUAUG